rfam:Oryza punctata chromosome 7, whole genome shotgun sequence.
UUAAAGUUCAGCCAUAAUUAUUGAGUCCAACUUUUUGAUCGUAUGUCUUAUUUGAAUUUAUUUUAUGAUUAGUAUUUUUAUUGUUAUUAGAUUAUGAAACAUGAAUAGUACUUUAUAUAUGACUUAUGUUUUUAUUUUUUAAAAAAGAUUUCAAAUAAGACGAACGAUUAAAGUUGGACACGAAAACUUAUCACUACGCUUAAA